GUGGAUUAGAUACCCUAGUAGUCCACGCCGUAAACGAUGAUCACUCGCUGUUAGCGAUACACAGUUAGCGGCUAAGCAAAAGCAUUAAGUGAUCCACCUGGGGAGUACGGCCGCAAGGCUGAAACUCAAAGGAAUUGACGGGGGCCCGCACAAGCGGAGGAACAUGUGGUUUAAUUCGAUGAUACGCGAGGAACCUUACCUGGGCUUAAAUGUAGAGUGCAUGAGGUGGAAACACUUCUUUCCUUCGGGACUCUUUACAAGGUGCUGCACGGCUGUCGCCAACU
rnacentral:rRNA from 1 species